rnacentral:rRNA from 1 species
GACGAAGGGGGCUAGCGUUGUUCGGAAUUACUGGGCGUAAAGCGCACGUAGGCGGAUUGUUAAGUCAGGGGUGAAAUCCUGGAGCUCAACUCCAGAACUGCCUUUGAUACUGGCGAUCUCGAGUCCGGGAGAGGUGAGUGGAACUGCGAGUGUAGAGGUGAAAUUCGUAGAUAUUCGCAAGAACACCAGUGGCGAAGGCGGCUCACUGGCCCGGUACUGACGCUGAGGUGCGAAAGCGUGGGGAGCAAACAGG